rnacentral:rRNA from 1 species
GUGGGGACACGUAAGGAAAGCGGAAGCCGGGAAUGGAAAGCCCGGUGCAAGCGGGGUACCAGCCACUCAGGCAAAUCCGGGUGGCAAUGGGAAGCCGUGAUGCGGAGCGAAAUAAAGUAGCGAAGUCCGUGAGCCAUGCGUCAAGAAAAGCCGCUAUUGUUUAUACCGUACCCGUACCGUAAACCGACACAGGUGGAUGAGGAGAGAAUCCUAAGGCCGGCGGAAGAAGCAUUGUCAAGGAACUCGGCAAAAUGGCCCCGUAACUUAGGGAUAAGGGGUGCCUGGGAAACCAGGCCGCAGAGAAUAGGCUCAAGCAACUGUUUAGCAAAAACACAGGUCUAUGCGAAACCGAAAGGUGAGGUAUAUUGGCUGACGCCUGCCCGGUGCUGGAAGGUUAAGAGGAGAGGUUAGCGCAAGCGAAGCUUUGAAUUUAAGCCCCAGUAAACGGCGGCCGUAACAAUAACGGUCCUAAGGUAGCGAAAUUCCUUGUCGGGUAAGUUCCGACCCGCACGAAAGGCGUAAUGAUUUGAGCGCUGUCUCGACAAUGCAUCCGGUGAAAUUGAAGUACCAGUGAAGAUGCUGGUUACCUGCGCCAGGACGGAAAGACCCCAUGGAGCUUUACUCCAGUCUGGUACUGGGACUCGGUAUUGCAUGUACAGGAUAGGUGGGAGGCUAGGAGAUGGUAACGCCAGUUGCCAUGGAGCCGCUGUUGGGAUACCACCCUUGCAGUAUUGGGUUUCUAACCAGCCGCCGUGACCCGGCGGUGGGACAAUGCCAGACGGGGAGUUUGACUGGGGCGGUCGCCUCCGAAAGGGUAUCGGAGGCGCCCAAAGGUUCCCUCAGAAUGGACGGAAACCAUUCGAAGAGUGCAAAGGCAGAAGGGAGCUUGACUGCGACACCGACGGGUGGAGCAGGUACGAAAGUAGGGCUUAGUGAUCCGGUGGUAUUAAGUGGGAAUGCCAUCGCUCAACGGAUAAAAGCUACCCUGGGAUAACAGGCUUAUCACUCCCAAGAGUUCACAUCGACGGAGUGGUUUGGCACCUCGAUGUCGGCUCAUCGCAUCCUGGGGCUGUAGUAGGUCCCAAGGGAUGGGCUGUUCGCCCAUUAAAGCGGUACGCGAGCUGGGUUCAGAACGUCGUGAGACAGUUCGGUCCCUAUCCGGCGUGGGCGUAGGAUAUCUGAGAGGAGCUGUCCUUAGUACGAGAGGACCGGGAUGGACGGGCCGCUGGUGCAUCGGUUAGACUGCCAAGUCUACGGCCGAGUAGCCAAGCCCGGAAGGGAUAAACGCUGAAGGCGUCUAAGCGUGAAGCCCCCCUUAAGAUGAGAUAUCCCAUUCGAAAGAAGUAAACCCCCUUGAAGACGACGAGGUAGAUAGGGCAGAGGUGGAAGUGCAGCAAUGCAUGGAGCUGACUGUUACUAAUCGGGUGAGGGCUUGACC